CUGCGGGGUGCACGUGCCCAGCGUGGCUGGGCUCACACUGAUGGACUGGCAAAAUGGGGAGGGCCAGGGUUGAGGCUGUUCCUCACAGACACCAUCUGCUGGUUUGAGGAGGGGCCCCAGGCCCACAGCAUGACUCCCUGCUCCUCAGAUAAGUAUGCUGUGCGCUUCAUCCCUCGGGAGAAUGGCGUUUACCUGAUUGACGUCAAGUUCAACGGCACCCACAUCCCUGGAAGCCCCUUCAAGAUCCGAGUUGGGGAGCCUGGGCAUGGAGGGGACCCAGGCUUGGUGUCUGCUUACGGAGCAGGUCUGGAAGGCGGUGUCACAGGUAAGUCUGUCGGUGCGGCUGCAGGUGUGCACACAGCUGCUAGGCCCUUGCCUCCAAGCUCUUGGUGACAACAGGAGGCACCUGGAGGUGACAAGCCUGCGCUGGGUGGCCGAGGACAGGGAGGCAGGCCAGUCUGGCUCUGCCUGACCUCCUGUGCUCCCAGGGAACCCAGCUGAGUUCGUCGUGAACACGAGCAAUGCGGGAGCUGGUGCCCUGUCGGUGACCAUUGACGGCCCCUCCAAGGUGAAGAUGGAUUGCCAGGAGUGCCCUGAGGGCUACCGCGUCACCUAUACCCCCAUGGCACCUGGCAGCUACCUCAUCUCCAUCAAGUACGGCGGCCCCUACCACAUUGGGGGCAGCCCCUUCAAGGCCAAAGUCACAGGCCCCCGUCUCGUCAGCAACCACAGCCUCCACGAGACAUCAUCAGUGUUUGUAGACUCUCUGACCAAGGCCACCUGUGCCCCCCAGCAUGGGGCCCCGGGUCCUGGGCCUGCUGACGCCAGCAAGGUGGUGGCCAAGGGCCUGGGGCUGAGCAAGGCCUACGUAGGCCAGAAGAGCAGCUUCACAGUAGACUGCAGCAAAGCAGGCAACAACAUGCUGCUGGUCGGGGUUCAUGGCCCAAGGACCCCCUGCGAGGAGAUCCUGGUGAAGCACGUGGGCAGCCGGCUCUACAGCGUGUCCUACCUGCUCAAGGACAAGGG
rnacentral:sRNA from 1 species